GGGUUACAAAAGCCCUUUUAUAAAGCCAUUUUUAAACAAAACAAAAAAAGUUUACAAAAGAAAAAAAGAUACAGAAAAAGAAUAACUUGCUUCAUAUGUCCCAAAAAGAGAAAAAAAUAAAAGGGACAAUGCCAACAUGCUCAACAAUAAAGUGUUCUUUUUUCUUAUUUUUUAAUACAAAAUACAAGCAAAGGAUACACAUACUUAAAACAGAGCUCAGGAACAGACACGCAGUCCUGGAAACCCUUCAAUAAAAGAAAGCAGGAGUUUGUUUUAUCUUUGUUUAUGCAGAUACAUACAGAGACUGGGAUAUGUAAAAAUUAAGUAUCACAAAAGACCAUCGCACAAGUCUACCAAUGCAUGUUGCAUCUAGAAAUCACGGACAUGGUCAACAAAAUCAUGUUCACUUCAACCCCCAUUUCUGCUUCUAGAACAUAAAAGGACUACAAUUAAGGAAUACUGGGAAUUUUAGAGCUGGGAAAAUGAAGUCUGAAAGAUGAAUCAAGGCCAACAAUGACUGAGAACCUGGCUGCUGCUUACCCUGGCAAAUC
rnacentral:lncRNA from 1 species